rnacentral:lncRNA from 10 species
AGGUCCCUGUAUUCAACUCUCCUCAGUUGCCCAGUGCAAGUGUGCCAUCUGUUUCCUGGCAGGACCAUGACUGAUCCAGGUAGGGGAUAGUUCUCGCUGACAUUCUACUGUUCGAAUGUUCUUUCUGUGUGAACUGAAAACUGCCUGAUGCAGAAUUGUGUGUGAAUAUCAGCUGUUGGUUUCAUUACAGGCUUAUAUGAAACUUGAGGACUAUGAGAAGGCACUGGUGGAUUGUGAGUGGGCUCUCAAGUGUGAUGAAAAAUGCACAAAAGCAUAUUUUCACAUGGGAAAAGCCAACCUGGCCCUGAAGAACUACAGUGUGUCUAGAGAGUGUUAUAAGAAGAUCUUAGAAAUAAACCCCA